UGGGGAAUUUUGGACAAUGGGCGCAAGCCUGAUCCAGCAAUGCCGCGUGCAGGAUGAAGGCCUUCGGGUUGUAAACUGCUUUUGUACGGAACGAAACGGCGAGCUCUAAUACAGUUUGCUAAUGACGGUACCGUAAGAAUAAGCACCGGCUAACUACGUGCCAGCAGCCGCGGUAAUACGUAGGGUGCAAGCGUUAAUCGGAAUUACUGGGCGUAAAGCGUGCGCAGGCGGUUAUGUAAGACAGAUGUGAAAUCCCCGGGCUUAACCUGGGAACUGCAUUUGUGACUGCAUAGCUAGAGUACGGUAGAGGGGGAUGGAAUUCCGCGUGUAGCAGUGAAAUGCGUAGAUAUGCGGAGGAACCCCGAUGGCGAAGGCAAUCCCCUGGACCUGUACUGACGCUCAUGCACGAAAGCGUGGGGAGCAAACA
rnacentral:rRNA from 1 species